rnacentral:rRNA from 1 species
AACGAACGCUGGCGGCAUGCCUAACACAUGCAAGUCGAACGAAGCCUUCGGGCUUAGUGGCGCACGGGUGCGUAACACGUGGGAAUCUGCCCUUCGGUUCGGAAUAACAGUUAGAAAUGACUGCUAAUACCGGAUGAUGACGUAAGUCCAAAGAUUUAUCGCCGAAGGAUGAGCCCGCGUAGGAUUAGGUAGUUGGUAGGGUAAUGGCCUACCAAGCCGACGAUCCUUAGCUGGUCUGAGAGGAUGAUCAGCCACACUGGGACUGAGACACGGCCUAGACUCCUACGGGAGGCAGCAGUGGGGAAUAUUGGACAAUGGGCGAAAGCCUGAUCCAGCAAUGCCGCGUGAGUGAUGAAGGCCUUAGGGUUGUAAAGCUCUUUUACCAGGGAUGAUAAUGACAGUACCUGGAGAAUAAGCUCCGGCUAACUCCGUGCCAGCAGCCGCGGUAAU